rnacentral:lncRNA from 1 species
AUUAUAUUGUAGUGAUACAAAUUAUAUAUUAUUAAUCUGUGAUCUAAAAAAAAUAUUUUUAUGAGUAUUCAUUGAAGAAAUAAAUUUAUAACAAGCGAUAAGGAAUGUUAUUUUGCACUCUAUAAUGUCCGUAUUUAUAAAUCGGUUACCAGUCAAAAACGAAAGCUACGUAAGUAGAAAUCUCUUUGGUAACAAUACAUCGGAAUGUUAAAAUAAAUAAAUAAGUAAUAAUUAUGGUAAUUUUCUUUCAUUGGGGGUGGGGCCGUGUGAGAAAACAGUGGAUUUUCUCGUAUUUUUUUCAUUUCUACACCUUGAAGAAGGAAAAACAGUCAAUAAAUACCCCCUUUUUCAAAGACCAACAAAUUUACCCCCCCCCCCCUUCCCAAAAAAGUAACCACCUGAUAAUUACACACAAACGCACAUACACACAUUUUCAAUACUUUUGUUCGUAAUAACAAAAAAAAAA